rnacentral:lncRNA from 1 species
UUGGUGUAGCACUGCUAAGAUUGGAUACAUACUAGAAUGUGGUGGGCGUUGCGUUGCGAACGGUUGCAGAGCAACUUGGGACAGCAGUAUGUACAGCGGUUGGGAGCCAUCCAAAAUGGAAAUGGUGUGCACGGAACAACAUUUAAGUCAGCACAUACAAGCUUGUCCUCGUUAAUAGACACCACACACCACCGGGCCUUUUAUUCUAUGGCAUCUUUGCGAGAUGAUACUGGGAUGGAAGAAACUUAUAUUAUGCGUUUUAGGGAUAAUUCUUAUAUUAGUUGGGAUAUUUAUUGGAGGUUAUUUUAGAGGAAUUGAAGAAGGAG